AUGGCUGCUCCAACGCCGCUCCGUCACGUGGCCAUGCUCCCCUUCAUGGCCAAAGGCCACGCCAUGCCACUCCUACACCUCGCGUGCCUCCUCCUCGGCAGCCGCGUCGCCUCCGCCGUCACCUUCUUCACCACCCCACGCAACGCGCCCUUCAUCCGCGCCGGGUUAGUCGGCACCGGCGCCGCUGACAUCGUCGAGCUUCCGUUCCCCUCUGAGGACGCCCCGCAGAGCACGGACGAGCUCCCGUCCUUGACGCAUCUCGUCGACUUCGUUUCCGUGGUGGCGGCGCUCGGCCCUGCGUUCGCGGACGCGCUCACCGCGCUCGAGCCCAGGCCGGACAUGCUCGUCCACGACGGCUUCAUCGUGUGGGCCAAGGACGUCGCCGACAAGCUCGGCAUGCCGCUGCUCAUCACCCUCGGCAUCGGCGGCUUCACCUUGUACGUCUACGGGGCGGUCAUGACGCACAAGCCACAGGCACUCCUGAGCUCGCCGACCGAGCCGUUCCCGGUCCCCGCCUUGCCAGACCUCUGCAUCACCAUGGCCGACCUCGGCCGGCCCUUCGACGUCCCGGAGCCGGCCGGCCCGCACUGGUACUUCGUGUGCGAGAGCUGCAACAACAUGUACUCCAGCAGGGGCAUCAUCGCCAACUCCUUCAGCGAGCUCGAGUCGGUCUACAUUGACCUGUGGAACAAGAACCGGGGGUUCGACAUCAAGAUGUGGCCGAUCGGACCGCUCUGUCUUGCGGUCCCCAAACCGGCAGUCCAGAGCAAAGACGACCGUGAGAUCUCGGACUGGCUGGACUCGAGGCUCGCCAUGGACCGGCCGGUCCUCUACGUCGCGUUCGGCUCACAGGCCGAGCUGAGCCGGGCGCAGCUUGAGGAGAUCGCCGUCGGGUUAGACCACUCCGGCGUAGACUUCCUAUGGGUGGUCCGGUCCAAAUGGUUCGACAAGGGGAUCGGUUUUGUUAGAUAA
rnacentral:rRNA from 1 species